CCUACGGGUGGCAGCAGUAGGGAAUCUUGGACAAUGGGCGAAAGCCUGAUCCAGCAACGCCGCGUGGGUGAAGAAGGUCUUCGGUACGUAAAACUCUGUUGAUAGGGAAGAAAAUGCGUGAGCGUAACUGAUCACGUUUCGACGGUAUCUAACCAGAAAGCCACGGCUAACUACGUGCGAGCAGCUGCUGCAAUACGUCGGUGGCAAGCGUUAUCCGGAUUUAUUGGGCGUAAAGGGAGCGCAGUCGGUAUGUCAAGUCUGAUGUGAAAGCCUGCGGCUUAACCGGAGUAGUGCAUUGGAAACUGGGAGACUUGAGUGCAGAAGAGGUGAGUGGAACUCGAGGUGUAGCGGUGAAAUGCGUAGAUAUCAGGAAGAACACCGGUGGCGAAGGCGGCUCACUGGACUGUAACUGACGCUGAGGUUCGAAAGCGUGGGUAGCAAACAGGAUUAGAUACCCGAGUAGUC
rnacentral:rRNA from 1 species